rnacentral:rRNA from 1 species
UACGGAAGGCAGCAGUGGGGAAUAUUGCACAAUGGGCGAAAGCCUGAUGCAGCUAUGCCGCGUGUAUGAAGAAGGCCUUAGGGUUGUAAAGUACUUUCAUCGGGGAGGAAAAAACAAAACUAAUAAUUUUAUUUCUUGACGUUACCCGAAAAAGAAGCACCGGCUAACUCCGUGCCAGCAGCCGCGGUAAUACGGAGGGUGCUAGCGUUAAUCAGAAUUACUGGGCGUAAAGAGCACGUAGGUGGUUUUUUUAAGUCAGAUGUGAAAUCCCUGGGCUUAACCUAGGAACUGCAUUUUGAAACUGAAAUACUAGAGUAUCGUAGAGGGAGGUAGAAUUCUAGGUGUAGCGGUGAAAUGCGUAGAUAUCUGGAGGAAUACCUGUGGCGAAAGCGGCCUCCUAAACGAAUACUGACACUGAGGUGCGAAAGCUGGGGAGCAAAACAGGGAUUAGAUACC